UAUUGAAAUACUUUCAUACAGAUGGUAAAGAGGCUGCUGGCCUACACCCCUGUCCUGCUGGCCUUACCUCUGGGAUCCACCUGUCCCUUCUGGCCUGGCCAAGCAAAGGGCUGCAGACCCUACUCAGUGCUGAGGCUACAUCCAUCCUGAUGGAUCAGUGCUCAUGCCACACACAUUUUUAAGCAUUUUAAUUCCAUCCCUGCCUCAUGCUACUGUUACUAAGAUAUUCCAGCACUAGGGAAUUUUCUCUUUUCCAGAUUACUGGAAAAGCAAUCCAGCUCAUCUCCUUGCCUCCUGCCUCUUUCACCUGGACUCUGCAUAGCAGUCAGAAUAAUUUAUCUAUAAUGCAAGCUGAUCACAUCUCUUCCCUGCUUAACACCUUGAACAUCAAGAUAAUAUGAAGAUAACAUCCAACUCCCUAAGCUCACCAGGGCCUUCAUGAUCUGACAGCUUCUCAUUCUUCACAUCUCACCACCUCAGAGAUGUCUCCCGAUACUGUCUAAAGUUUUGAUACUCUACCUCCAUUCCCCAACCUCCAACCCCCCAAAACCUGUGGCAUAUAGCUCUAUUUGUCAGAUAGUUUAUUUGAGGGGAUUGCAAACUCUUUAAAAAUCUGUUCUGCUACAAUUGUUCACAGCAUGGUCCACAUCUGCGACUACUCUUGAAAAACACCAACAGAUGAAGAUAUUUAUGAAUUUUAUGGGUGAGGAUAAAGGUGUGGAGCUUGGAGUGGCAGAGCCUGUAUCACCUCUAAAAUAGUAAGAGACACUCAGUCCAUUGAGAGGGAAGGGAACACGGAAGGAGGAAGGUGGUUUCAACAAGCCCAGUGUGUAACUAGCAUUCUCAGAGUCAGCCUGUAACUGUCAGUUCAUGAUUAUUCGUUCAUUGGACCUUUGUUUCUUUUCAACUUCUGUCUUUUCUAUAAUAACACGGAACGUUAUAGU